AUGUCAACAUCACAGAAUACAACCGCGGAGUCUGAAAGGCCGAUAACUCUUAAGAGGAAGGCAAAUGAUGUUGGAUGGAACUAUGGAAAACUAUGUGAUGUGACAAACAAGGAGAGGGUGAAGUGUGACUUUUGUGGCCAUGUUAGCACCAGAGGAAUUAACCAUUUCAAGCUACACAUCACGGGCACCACCUCAAGCGUUCUUUCAUGUUUAAGGUCAACUAUGGAGGCUAAAGCAAUUUGCCAGAGAGCUCUUGAUGCAUAUGAGGCAAAGAAGGUGGCAAAGAAAAAAUGUAAGGCCGAAGUGAGGGCUGAUGUGCAUGUCAUAGCCCUAAAUGAAGCAAGGGAGGUUAGAGAAUCUGUUUGUGUUGGAAGCACAUCACCGGAGCCCAACAAAUUAGGACCAAUGGACAAGUUUGUGCGUCCUGUUGAUGGUAAAUGA
rnacentral:rRNA from 1 species